rnacentral:lncRNA from 1 species
UUUUGCCUGUAAGAUGUCGGAAUCUCAGUUACUACUCCAACACCAUGUCUGUCUGCAGGCUGCCAUGCUCCCUGCCAUGGUGAUAAUGGAUUGAACCUCUGAAAAUGGUUGGUCAGUUUGAAGACAUACAGAAUGGUUGAUUGGUCUGAAAUUGGCCUGUGAUGCAUCCUCAUCCAGUUUUCAACUUGUUGAGGCAGUCCAUCAGCAGGGGCCCUGCUGGUGGGAGACAGAAGCUCCCACACUGUCUCCCCUAUCUCUGAAGUUCACAACCUUUACUACCUAGCCAGGACCCAUCAUCUCCUUAUCUGUCUGCACCAGAUCCUGCAGGGAAGGAAGCAAAGAGAGGCAAGCGUCCAAACAAUCCAAGAGCCAACAUCCCUGGGCUGCCCUCCUGCUCUGAGCUCGUGGCACUCGACUUCCUCAACUGAAAGGAGGAACCGUCGCAGGCAGGCUUACAGUGUGCGUCCUCCCCAGCAUCCUGCUCCAGGGUCCAAAGCCAGACUACACCUGUGUCCCGCGGACACCCCGCAGGGACCCUGCAGCUGCUAGGCUACGUGGACUGCCCUGCAGUGCUAUGGCUCAGGCCCGCAGCGAGCCUCGCGGGCUUCUGGCCUGAGGUCCACCCCCAGCCACAGGCCACUGCCCGGGAGCCACCCCUUGUUUUCAUAAAACACACGCCCAGUCGUUGUGCACAUUUGCUAGUUGUCC